AAAUUGAAGAGUUUGAUCAUGGCUCAGAUUGAACGCUGGCGGCAGGCCUAACACAUGCAAGUCGAACGGUAACAGGAAGCAGCUUGCUGCUUCGCUGACGAGUGGCGGACGGGUGAGUAAUGUCUGGGAAACUGCCUGAUGGAGGGGGAUAACUACUGGAAACGGUAGCUAAUACCGCAUAAUGUCGCAAGACCAAAGAGGGGGACCUUCGGGCCUCUUGCCAUCGGAUGUGCCCAGAUGGGAUUAGCUUGUUGGUGGGGUAACGGCUCACCAAGGCGACGAUCCCUAGCUGGUCUGAGAGGAUGACCAGCCACACUGGAACUGAGACACGGUCCAGACUCCUACGGGAGGCAGCAGUGGGGAAUAUUGCACAAUGGGCGCAAGCCUGAUGCAGCCAUGCCGCGUGUAUGAAGAAGGCCUUCGGGUUGUAAAG
rnacentral:rRNA from 1 species